rnacentral:rRNA from 1 species
GUGGAUUAGAUACCCUGGUAGUCCACGCCGUAAACGAUGUGUGCUUGUCGCUGGGAGGUUCACCUCUCGGUGACGCAGCUAACGCGUUAAGCACACCGCCUGGGAAGUACGGCCGCAAGGUUAAAACUCAAAGGAAUUGACGGGGACCCGCACAAGCGGUGGAGUAUGUGGUUUAAUUCGUCGCAACGCGAAGAACCUUACCAGGCCUUGACAUGCCCUCUAUGGGCCCCAGAGACGGGGUCCUUCACUUCGGGUGGGAGGGACACAGGUGCUGCACGGCUGUCGCCAACU